GACGAACGCUGGCGGCGUGCCUAAUACAUGCAAGUCGAGCGAAUCGAUGGGAGCUUGCUCCCUGAGAUUAGCGGCGGACGGGUGAGUAACACGUGGGUAACCUGCCUGUAAGACUGGGAUAACUUCGGGAAACCGGAGCUAAUACCGGAUACUUUCUUUUCUCGCAUGAGGGAAGAUGGAAAGAUGGUUCUGCUAUCACUUACAGAUGGACCCGCGGCGCAUUAGCUAGUUGGUGAGGUAACGGCUCACCAAGGCAACGAUGCGUAGCCGACCUGGGAGGGUGAUCGGGCACACUGGGACUGAGACACGGCCCAGACUCCUACGGGAGGCAGCAGUAGGGAAUCUUCCGCAAUGGACGAAAGUCUGACGGAGCAACGCCGCGUGAGCGAAGAAGGCCUUCGGGUCGUAAAGCUCUGUUGUUAGGGAAGAACUAGUACGAGAGUAACUGCUCGUACCUUGACGGUACCUAACCAGAAAGCCACGGCUAACUACGUGCCAGCCGCCGCCGUAAGAC
rnacentral:rRNA from 1 species